rnacentral:rRNA from 1 species
UGUGUAGGCGGAUCGUUAAGUACCUUGUGAAAUCCCACGGCUCAACCGUGGAACUGCUGGGUAUACUGGCGGUCUUGAGCCACCUAGGGGCAACUGGAACAAGCGGUGGAGCGGUGAAAUGCGUAGAUAUCGCUUGGAACGCCAACGGUGAAAACAGGUUGCUGGGGGUGUGCUGACGCUGAGACACGAAAGCCAGGGGAGCGAACG